UGGUCUGGCCCAACCUUGGAACCUGCCAUUCACUACUCCUCCUCUUUAUCCUUUUUUCAUCACGGGGUUCUAUUGUCUGUCUCUGCUUCUACUUCAUGGAAGUGAAGACAGUCAUCAAGUAGGCUAACAUUUCUACCAGCUGUGAUAUCUUAAUAUUAACAUCAUGUCAUUUAAAAAAAUACUAAGUCAUUAAACUAAACUAUUGUCUUUCACAGUGGAAAUCUCAGAAUCUGCACGCGGCCCAGUGAACGAAGCUAGUGGUUGGUUUUAAAACGUUAGUUGUGCAUGCGCUAACAUAACGGUUGCUAAUUCAUGGGGUUUGAAGCGAUCCGACAGCUGCUAAUAUAAUAUUGCUGGUCAUAACGUAAGUAGAAGGAGGGAAUAUAUACUGGCUUUACCUUUACAUAUCCUAACGGGUAGGUAGUUAGCUUUAGUUUUAGCCAUAUGUCGGUAGCAAAUGUUUAAGUGGUUGACGAACAUCAGCUAGUCUAGGUACUUAGCUUGCUAUCGAUAAAAUCCGUUAUUUUUUAAAAUCCGAUAAAGAUGUGCAGGUAAUUUAGAUUGAAUACACAAAUUCCCAUUGUCAAGCUAACAUCUUCCAGCAACGUCGGGGCAGAAGAAACGUAAUUACCUAACGUUAGCUAUAGUCUGAAAGUUCAUGCCGAGUCAUCGUAAGGCUAACGUUACGGUGCUGGCUGCUGACUUUUGAAGGAUGCUUCAUCAUUUCACGGAUCUGAAGUGGCCCAAGCCAGCAGUUCAGGAAAGAUGCCCAAAGAUGUGCAAAUAGGCAACUCUAGGAGGACAGGCCCCAAGAGAUGAGCAAAACAGGAAGCACAGGAUGUGACUGAGACAGAGGAUGAAAGGAGACUGUCAAACCGCAACCUUUCCACUAGACCAACUUCACCCAUCUGCUUGCUAUAAGAAUAAUUAUAACUAGAUAUAACCGGCUAUAAGCUAGAUUAAAAAGUGCCCCACUUCGAGUGGAAAAUAACUGGGGCAUAGUUCAGUUAUAGGCUUGCAAAAUGUAGAGCACGCCUCUUGUGCAUGAUGAAAAAGUACUGAGACACUGUAUAUAAGAAGCUGUCUGUACACACCUAACGUCAGAGAGUUUUGUGAGUACUCUCUCAUUCUUUUCUCUGUUUGCAAGCUGAAUAAAAGUCCUAUGAGUGAA